rnacentral:piRNA from 1 species
AAACGGACGAGGACGAGGACAAGUA